UAGUCCACGCCGUAAACGAUGGUCACUAGCUGUUCGGACUUCGGUCUGAGUGGCUAAGCGAAAGUGAUAAGUGACCCACCUGGGGAGUACGUUCGCAAGAAUGAAACUCAAAGGAAUUGACGGGGGCCCGCACAAGCGGUGGAGCAUGUGGUUUAAUUCGAUGAUACGCGAGGAACCUUACCAGGGCUUAAAUGUAAGUUGCAUUAGCUAGAGAUAGUUAUUUCUUCGGACUACUUACAAGGUGCUGCAUGGUUGUCGUCAGCUCGUGCCGUGAGGUGUCAGGUUAAGUCCUAUAACGAGCGCAACCCCUGUUGUUAGUUGCCAUCAUUUAGUUGGGCACUCUAGAGAAACUGCCGGUGACAAACCGGAGGAAGGUAAGGAUGACGUCAAGUCAGCAUGCCCCUUACGCUCUGGGCUACACACGUGCUACAAUGGUCGUGACAAAGAGUUGCUAGUCUGCGAAGGCAAGCCAAUCUCAUAAACGCGGCCUUAGUUCGGAUUG
rnacentral:rRNA from 1 species